ACGUCAAAUCAUCAUGCCCCUUAUGUCUAGGGCUACACACGUGCUACAAUGGCGAGUACAACGAGAGGCAAAGCCGCGAGGCGGAGCAAAACUAUAAAACUCGUCCCAGUUCGGAUUGUAGGCUGAAACUCGCCUACAUGAAGCCGGAGUUGCUAGUAAUCGCGAAUCAGCAUGUCGCGGUGAAUACGUUCCCGGGCCUU
rnacentral:rRNA from 1 species